AUACUCAUCAAUGGCUAAAUUUGAACAUUCGGUGUAUUUGGAUAAUAUUAAACUGAAACUCAUGUCACUUGGUAAUGAGAGGUUAAAAAGAAAAGAUAAUUAUUAUACAUUUAACCAUGGAGUCAGGGCUGUAAAAAUGUAUUGUAAUGAUGAACUGGUAGUUUACUUCACCAUUUAAGAUUUACAUUGUGUCAAUGUCAAUGUUACUCACUACUGUUAGCAGACUAUUACCCAAACUAUUACCAUUUCUUUUUUCCAAUUUGUCAUGUCAACUGGUACCUGAAGUAUGUGCUCCUGUGACUAAUAUUGAUGUACUCUCUCUCUGUGUGUGUGUGUGUGUGUGUGUGUGUGUGUGUGUGUGUGUGUGUCCUCAAGUGGUGCUGUGAAGCACUUUCGUUGUAGGCUUUAAUCCUGUUUUCUUCUGAUAUUAAUACUGCAGUACUAUUUUGAUAAUAGAGGUUAUUAUGUAAUAAGGUGUAUUUGUAAUACCAGAGUCAUAGCCAUUAAUGGCUUAAAUUUAUUAUAGGGUGCAUUUGGGUACUAUUACACUGAAAGCUUUUGAAAGUAUUCGCCACUAUUAUCAGAUUAUUACCUAACUAUUACCAUGGUGUUACCGAGCUGUGGAGUCAAUAGAAUUAUCAACUUAUCCAUUCAUAUUCAUCUUCUUUGCAAGCUUUAAUCCUGUUUUUCACCUCACACAUUUACAGCUUGACCAUUUAUUUACUGAUAAACACUACUUCACCUAAGAGACUUUAGUAUCCAGUUCUUCGUUGACCUUCAGCAUUCAGUUGUUUGUCUUCACCUUUUCAGGUAAGCAAUUUAAAAAAAUUGCUUUUGUAAUGUUGAGAAAAACUGAAAUUAUUAUUCAUAAAGAACUUUCAACCACUGUUCUGUGAUGUCAUGUAUAGUGAUAUACAAAAAUAUCUGAAGGAACGGUGUAUUUGGGAUAAUCAAUAUUAUUAGUAUUCAUGUAUUUAUUUAUUUUUAAAUCCGAGAAUGGGGGAAAAAUAGAUUAUUAGUACAAAAACUAGUAACUAGUAAAAAAAAAAUUGGUUACAAUAAUGUUCAUUCAUUAAUUGACGCUUGGUCAAACUCUCAUCUAAUUAAGUAUUGCUGUCUCAUUAACAUGUUGUAUUUAUUUAUUUUGUAGGCUAAAACCUGAGAAGCCAUCACCAUGUUGUUGUUUGUUGUAUUUCACAUUAUGCAGAUUUUUCAGCACGUGGUCCUCAAUAUAUAGUAUAGAAGUCACUGCAUUUUCUGACUCUUCCAGGUUUCCUGUGUCCAGCAUCUUCAAGACAGACUAAGCUAACUUUUCAUAUUUUUUGCACAUUUAUAUUUAGGUUAGGUUAGGAGUAGGUUAGGUUUAUAAUAGAGUAUUUAGUUUGUAUAGUUUAGCUUUUUAUGCUGGUCUAGGGACAGUUAAGUUAGCAAAUUCAUUUAGUUCAGAUCACUUACAGUUGCAUAUUAUUGUUACAAAUGAGUUAUUUUGUGAGUUUUUGUUAUACAGGCUAUUGUAUAUUGCAGGACCAAGUGAGACGAGGAAGACCACUGCUUCCAAGAUGCAGCGCUCAGAAAGUGCGUUGGACAAGUCUCGACCUUGCAGAUCCUGCCCCACUUAGCCCAACCACUUCCGACCAUGGGGUACCUCAAAGACCUCCGUCAACCAGCCGGCUGUGGAUGAUGGAUAACGCACCCACAACUCCUUCUCCAGUCUACAAGGUUCUGAAAAUACAGACACCCCCACAGUCCAAGAACAGCUGGAUGACCUCUGGACCCACUUGCCCCCGUUCACCAGUUGAAAAGAUAGGCUUUUUAAAAAAAUCUUCAAUUGUUAAUUCUGCACAAAGUGAUACACAAAACAUUGUAUGUAUUCCAUUUCAACAAACACAAACAUGAAAUGUAUAUUUAAAUACAUGACUUAAUGCAAAUCAAUCAUACUAAACAUCAUCUUUUUUUUUUAACCAACCAUUGCACACACUUACAUCCAAUGAGAGGUUACAUCUUGAUGGUAACUUUUUAGAUUAACAAAACUUUUGUGAG